AGGGCCGGCGCCCCUCUGCUGCGGGCCGGAGCUCUUUUCACAUUGUGCUACUGUCUGCGCCUGUCACUAGCAGUGCAAUGUUAAAAGGGCAUUGGCUGUGCAGCGCUACCCAGCGCCGGCUG
rnacentral:pre_miRNA from 8 species